UCCUCCGGAAGUGCGGAUCCCAGCGGUGGUCGUGUAGCUGAGCAGGCCUGGGGCUUGGUUCUAUGUCCCUGUGGCUAUGUUUCCAGUGUCCUCUGGGUGUUUCCAAGAGCAACAAGAAACGAAUAAAUCUCUGGUGACUUUUUGAAAAAAUAGUAUCUCUUGUUGAAAGAAAUGCUCCAUCUGUGAUUUCAAGUCUCUCACUUGAGUGAAUUGGAUGGAAGUGGUGAAUUUCAGCCAAAGUGGCCAAAGAAAUCCUGUUCCUGUGAUAAUGACGCCAUCAGCCUCUGCACCUCUGUCUUCCCUUCUGCCACAUGUUGUCUGUUCUCCGUGACUUUGGCUGUCUCUUCAGUGCUGGUGGGAUAUAUCAGAAAGUGAUGGAAGAUGUGGCACUGUGCCCUCACCCAGAAGCUGGCCAUGUGGUUGGCUCCUCCACCAGAAUGGAUGCUCUGGGUGCUCUUUGAGCCAGCUUGGCUUUGCCUAGCAUGCACAGGCUCCGGGUACCGAAAUGUUGCUCUGAGUGAGCUUGUCCUGCCUUGGGCCAAAUUCUGUUAGGCCAGGGCCACAAAAGGCCGAGUCCCACGGGUGGUAAUCCUGGCUGCUUUCUGCACUUCCACAUAAAGACCUCCUGAAGAUGGCCUGUGGUCUACCUCUUUGCAACCAAGAAGCCCGCAGUGCCAUAUGAAUCCUCAGGCAUGGACUGGAGCCCCCGAGGAAGCACACACCCUGCUCCUGAGCCUGCUGCUCAUUUUCUCUGUGUGGCUCCAUUUGUGUCACAGUUGUUGCACAGACUUGUGCAUGCUGGGCAAGGCCAAGCUGGCUCAAAAAGCAACCAGCCACCUCUGCAAGGUUGUGCCAGGAGCCGGUGGACCGGCCACCAACCUCACUCACUGCUGGUCAGGUUACAUCAGUUAUUCUACCCUAGAGGUAGGGCCCCAGUGCCAUAUGCUUUUCCUCAGGCCUCUGCUCUAUCAGUCAUCAGGCGGCAACCACUCAGGCUGUGGGAACCUGGCCAUCCCUCCUUCCUUGAGUAGCUGAGGUUGCUGGCUUGUCCGCCUACUACAGGCACAGCCUUGCAGAUGUGGCUAGUUGCUCUGAGCCAGCUUGGCCUUUCCUGGCAUGCCUAGGCCCCAGGUACUGACACUCUGCUCCGAGUCAGCUUGUCCUGCCUUGGGUCAAAUUCUAAGUCUGGCCAGGGCCACAGAAGGCCCAGUCCCCUGGGUGCUAAUCUUGGCUGCUUUCUGCACUUGAACAUAAAGUCCUCCUCAAGAAAGCCUGUGGUCUGCCUGUUGGCGACCAAGAAACCUA
rnacentral:lncRNA from 1 species